GGUUAAGCGACUAAGCGUACACGGUGGAUGCCUAGGCAGUCAGAGGCGAUGAAGGGCGUGCUAAUCUGCGAAAAGCGUCGGUAAGCUGAUAUGAAGCGUAAUAACCGACGAUACCCGAAUGGGGAAACCCAGUGCAAUUCGUUGCACUAUUGCAUGGUGAAUACAUAGCCAUGCAAGGCGAACCGGGGGAACUGAAACAUCUAAGUACCCCGAGGAAAAGAAAUCAACCGAGAUUCCCCCAGUAGCGGCGAGCGAACGGGGAAGAGCCCAGAGUCUGAAUCAGUUGGUGUGUUAGUGGAAGCGUCUGGAAAGUCGCACGGUACAGGGUGAUAGUCCCGUACACAAAAACACACUGGCUGUGAACUCGAUGAGUAGGGCGGGACACGUGACAUCCUGUCUGAAUAUGGGGGGACCAUCCUCCAAGGCUAAAUACUCCUGACUGACCGAUAGUGAACCAGUACCGUGAGGGAAAGGCGAAAAGAACCCCGGCGAGGGGAGUGAAAUAGAACCUGAAACCGUGUACGUACAAGCAGUGGGAGCACCUUCGUGGUGUGACUGCGUACCUUUUGUAUAAUGGGUCAGCGACUUAUAUUUUGUAGCAAGGUUAACCGAAUAGGGGAGCCGUAGGGAAACCGAGUCUUAACUGGGCGUCUAGUUGCAAGGUAUAGACCCGAAACCCGGUGAUCUAGCCAUGGGCAGGUUGAAGGUUGGGUAACACUAACUGGAGGACCGAACCGACUAAUGUUGAAAAAUUAGCGGAUGACUUGUGGCUGGGGGUGAAAGGCCAAUCAAACCGGGAGAUAGCUGGUUCUCCCCGAAAGCUAUUUAGGUAGCGCCUCGUGAACUCAUCUUCGGGGGUAGAGCACUGUUUCGGCUAGGGGUCCAUCCCGGAUUACCAAACCGAUGCAAACUCCGAAUACCGAAGAAUGUUAUCACGGGAGACACACGGCGGGUGCUAACGUCCGUCGUGAAGAGGGAAACAACCCAGACCGCCAGCUAAGGUCCCAAAGUCAUGGUUAAGUGGGAAACGAUGUGGGAAGGCAUAGACAGCCAGGAUGUUGGCUUAGAAGCAGCCAUCAUUUAAAGAAAGCGUAAUAGCUCACUGGUCGAGUCGGCCUGCGCGGAAGAUGUAACGGGGCUAAACCAUGCACCGAAGCUGCGGCAGCGACGCUUAGGCGUUGUUGGGUAGGGGAGCGUUCUGUAAGCCGUUGAAGGUGGCCUGUGAGGGCUGCUGGAGGUAUCAGAAGUGCGAAUGCUGACAUAAGUAACGAUAAUGCGGGUGAAAAACCCGCACGCCGGAAGACCAAGGGUUCCUGUCCAACGUUAAUCGGGGCAGGGUGAGUCGACCCCUAAGGCGAGGCUGAAAAGCGUAGUCGAUGGGAAACAGGUUAAUAUUCCUGUACUGGGUGUGACUGCGAAGGGGGGACGGAGAAGGCUAGGCUAGCCGGGCGACGGUUGUCCCGGUUUAAGCAUGUAGGCGGAGCGACUUGGUAAAUCCGGUUGCUUAUCAACGCUGAGGUGUGAUGACGAGCCACUACGGUGGUGAAGUAGUUGAUGCCAAGCUUCCAGGAAAAGCCUCUAAGCAUCAGGUGACAUUCAAUCGUACCCCAAACCGACACAGGUGGUCAGGUAGAGAAUACUCAGGCGCUUGAGAGAACUCGGGUGAAGGAACUAGGCAAAAUGGUGCCGUAACUUCGGGAGAAGGCACGCUGGCAUUAGGUAAAGAGACUUGCUCUCGGCGCCGAAGCCAGUCGCAGAUACCAGCUGGCUGCAACUGUUUAAUAAAAACACAGCACUGUGCAAACACGAAAGUGGACGUAUACGGUGUGACGCCUGCCCGGUGCUGGAAGGUUAAUUGAUGGGGUCAGCCGCAAGGCGAAGCUCUUGAUCGAAGCCCCAGUAAACGGCGGCCGUAACUAUAACGGUCCUAAGGUAGCGAAAUUCCUUGUCGGGUAAGUUCCGACCUGCACGAAUGGCGUAAUGAUGGCCAGGCUGUCUCCACCCGAGACUCAGUGAAAUUGAACUCGCUGUGAAGAUGCAGUGUACCCGCGGCAAGACGGAAAGACCCCGUGAACCUUUACUAUAGCUUGACACUGAAUAUUGAGCCUUGAUGUGUAGGAUAGGUGGGAGGCAUCGAAGCGUGGACGCCAGUCUGCGUGGAGCCAACCUUGAAAUACCACCCUUUAAUGUUUGAUGUUCUAACUCGGCCCCAUAAUCUGGGGUGAGGACAGUGUCUGGUGGGUAGUUUGACUGGGGCGGUCUCCUCCCAAAGAGUAACGGAGGAGCACGAAGGUUAGCUAAUCACGGUCGGACAUCGUGAGGUUAGUGCAAAGGCAUAAGCUAGCUUGACUGCGAGAGUGACGGCUCGAGCAGGUACGAAAGUAGGUCUUAGUGAUCCGGUGGUUCUGAAUGGAAGGGCCAUCGCUCAACGGAUAAAAGGUACUCCGGGGAUAACAGGCUGAUACCGCCCAAGAGUUCAUAUCGACGGCGGUGUUUGGCACCUCGAUGUCGGCUCAUCACAUCCUGGGGCUGAAGUAGGUCCCAAGGGUAUGGCUGUUCGCCAUUUAAAGUGGUACGCGAGCUGGGUUUAGAACGUCGUGAGACAGUUCGGUCCCUAUCUGCCGUGGGCGUUGGAAGAUUGAGAGGGGCUGCUCCUAGUACGAGAGGACCGGAGUGGACGCAUCACUGGUGUUCGGGUUGUCAUGCCAAUGGCAUUGCCCGGUAGCUAAAUGCGGAAAAGAUAAGCGCUGAAAGCAUCUAAGCGCGAAACUUGCCUCGAGAUGAGUCUUCCCUGGGGCUUUAAGCCCCCUGAAGGAACGUUAAAGACUAUGACGUUGAUAGGCUGGGUGUGUAAGUGCAGCGAUGCAUUGAGCUAACCAGUACUAAUGAUCCGUGAGGCUUAACCUU
rfam:Yersinia ruckeri strain 37551 YRO1b0000044, whole genome shotgun sequence.